rnacentral:rRNA from 1 species
ACCUGCUGAAUUUAAGCAUAUAAGUAAGUGGUGGAAGAAAAAAUAAACAUGAUUCUUUUAGUAAUGGCGAAUGAACAAAGACAUGGUCAUUUUGAAAAUUGUGGUCUUAGAUCAUGAAUUGUAUUUUCAAAAUGCAUUGCUAACACAACUGCACAUGUUUGUUUAUUGGAAAGAACAUCACAAAGGGUGACAAUCCCAUGUGUCAUGUGUAUGUUUUGUGUACAGCGUGCAUUACAUGAAUCACAUUCAUUGACAAUUGAAUGCAAAUAGAAUGGUAAAUUUCAUUUAAUCAUAAAUAUGUUGUUGACAACUUAUAGCAAACAAAUACCAUGAGGGAAAUGUGAAAAGGAUUUUGAAAAGAAAAUUAAAAGAGCUUGCAAUUGCUGAACUGAUAAGCAAACAAAACAUACGUGUGUAUGCAAGAUUGUUGUAAUGCUUAGCAUCCUAUGCAAGGCUAUCGCAAUGAUUUUUUGUAUAGUGAUGCUACCUUUUUUUAGAAUUUGGAAUGUCUUUUUUUGAGUGUGAAUGGAAUUUUGUUUGUUAGCAAAGGAAUGCACUUUUAGAUUCAUUGUUUGAUUUGAUUUAAAAAUGUUUGUGACACAUGUCUUUGUUUUGGUUUCAUGCUUCAACCAAGGACAUUGUGUUUGAUCCAUGUCAGCAAUACAUGUUUUGUUUGACCCGUCUUGAAACACGGACCAAGGAGUUUAAUUUAUGUGCAAGAUCAUGAAACUGACAUUUGUAUAUCAAUGAAAAUAUUUUGUUGGGAUUUGUGCACCAACAACUGAUAAGUUGUGUGACGCGACGUUGAGUUUGAGCAUGUUGAUUAAAACCCGAAAGAUGGUGAACUAUGCCUGAACAGAAUGAAGUCAGAG